AUCACACUCCACUCCAUCAAAAGUAAUACGCUAAAUUUUUGGUAUCUAAAUUUUAUAAGAAAAACAAAAUUUUAGUAGAUAUCAUAUUUAACUAGGAUAAUUACAAAUUUAAUCUUGUUGUGAAGACUAAAUUUUUUUUUGAAAUUUCUAAUUGAUAUUUACUGCUGCAAAAUGGAUGAAACAAUUAGGGAAAUAUUAAAAAAUUUAAAUAACGUAUGUUUGAGUCUAUGUAGACUGGGUAUAUAUGUUUGUAAUAAAUUUUUUGCUGUAACUAAAGUAAGUAAAACUGUAAAUUGAAAACAUUUUUUUACAUGAGACAUUUUUUGUUAUCCAUAAGCUUAACAGUAAUUUUCUAAAGCUGUUAUCAUCAUUCAUUAACUACUGAGAAGGGAAGUAUAAAGUGCACAGCUCAUGAAAGACGAAGUGUAAAGAUUCGGUGUAGAAUUGAGGAUCGACAACGAAGCUUAUAUUAUUACCAAAUUCAAAAUGGAGCGUGUUUAUUACUCUCAUGUCCUGGCAUUUUGGAACCAAUCCAAUCAAGCAACUGGACAACUAAAUGUUUCCUAUCAAACAUUCUUAAAAUGAUGUAAUCAAGUUGUUUGAAAUAUUAUAUACCAAUAUUGGGAGAUUUGAUGAAGAGUAAACCGGUAUGAAUAUACGUUUUCUCAAUGGUUUAAACCUCCGUUAGUGAACGUUUAAUAAGUAGGGCGGAAUAAAUUAUAAAAAAUAUAAUUUUUAUAAAUUGUCAUCACCCAAUCUAAAGAUAUGCUUAUAAGACUUGAUAAAAACUACAAAGCUCAAAGGACAACGUGCUCAGAAGAUUUUGAACGUAGGUUCACGCCCCAGUCGUUUCUAGGGAAGAAAAUUUACAUUAUGUAAAUGAACAUCAAAGAAGAUUCUCAACUCAGAUGGAGUAAUUGUAAUACUAUAUUUUUUUAUAUACUUAAUUAAUACAACACCAUCUAACAAAGUAAAGGAAUA
rnacentral:lncRNA from 1 species